GAAGCCCCGGGGUGGAAGCACAUCGAAAUGCAAGUUCGGAGAAGCACCCCAUAUGGGUGCCGGGGCUU
rnacentral:tRNA from 1 species